rnacentral:rRNA from 1 species
GACGAACGCUGGCGGCGUGCUUAACACAUGCAAGUCGAACGGGAACCUUUAUUUCGGUACAAGGUGAGAGUGGCAAACGGGUGAGUAACACGUAGGCAACCUGCCGACAGGAUGGGGACAACAUUCCGAAAGGAAUGCUAAUACCGAAUGGAGUCCGGGGAUGGCAUCAUCCCUGGAUAAAAGAUGGCCUCUGAAUAUGCUAUCGCCUGUCGAUGGGCCUGCGUCUGAUUAGCCAGUUGGCGGGGUAACGGCCCACCAAAGCGACGAUCAGUAGCCGGUCUGAGAGGAUGAACGGCCACAUUGGGACUGAGACACGGCCCAGACUCCUACGGGAGGCAGCAGUGGGGAAUCUUCCACAAUGGGCGAAAGCCUGACGGAGCAACGCCGCGUGAGUGAAGAAGGUCUUCGGAUCGUAAAGCUCUGUUGACGGGGACGAACGUGCAAAGGGUGAAUAAUCCUUUGCAAUGACGGUACCUGUCAGAGGAAGCCACGGCUAACUACGUGCCAGCAGCCGCGGUAAUACGUAGGUGGCGAGCGUUGUCCGGAAUCAUUGGGCGUAAAGGGAGCGCAGGCGGGCAUGUAAGUCUUUCUUAAAAGUUCGGGGCUCAACCCCGUGAUGGGAAAGAAACUAUGUGUCUUGAGUACAGGAGAGGAAAGCGGAAUGCCCAGUGUAGCGGUGAAAUGCGUAGAUGUUGGGAGGAACACCAGUGGCGAAGGCGGCUUUCUGGACUGCAACUGACGCUGAGGCUCGAAAGCCAGGGGAGCGAACGGGAUUAGAUACCCCGGUAGUGCCUGGCCGUAAACGAUGGAUACUAGGUGUGGGAGGUAUCGACCCCUACCGAUGCCGGAGUCUAACGCAAUAAGUAUCCCGCCUGGGAAGUACGAUCGCAAGAUUAAAACUCAAAGGAAUUGACGGGGGCCCGCACGAGCGGUGGAGUAUGUGGUAUAAUUCGACGCAACGCGACGACCUGACGAGGGCUGACAUUGAGUGAAGACUUAUAGACCAAUCAUUCUCUCCGGAGAGACGACAACAUGGUGGUGCAUGGGCUGUCGGUCAGCGGGGUGUCAUGAGACUG